UCACCUGGGUUGACCCAUCCGUCCACGCCAAUCUCUCUAAAUGGACUUUGAUUAGAAACAUAUUUGUGAUACGUCAAACACUUUAUCUCUGGGAGGAAAUACAUUUCCCUCAAAACAUAAACGAGAAUGCAGUUUAGUUGUAUAGGAAGGUACUUUUUAGGAGACAGGGCUGGUUAAUUUUACCCCACUCAAGAGUUUUUACCUGGCAUUUAUUAGAAACCAGCAAUUAUUUGAGCAUCAGCUUUUAUUCUGUUUUGACAGCAUUUAUACAAGGUACUAGCAUACCAUCAUUGUGCCAGAGUGGCUGGUAUUUUUUUUCCUUUAACAAGACAACGACACAGCUGAUGGUCAGCUUAGUGUGAUUUUUUUUUCUUACAGUGUAAUCACUGUCUCAUAGUAGUCAGUGUUGACAUUGUUAUAAUAACCAUGACCACAGUCCUUCCCUAACCUUAAAGAUUAAUUUAAGAUUAAAAUGUCAUUGCAAAUUGUGCAACCAACAGUGCCUCCACAUCCACUUGAUUAACAUCACGUUAAUUUGAAUUAGUUAAGAUAUAUAAGAUAUUCUCUAUGUAAAACGAGAUCCCGUUAAACUCCUUGUUUUAUUUACAGACUAUUGUAUUGGCUGUCGGCUUGUAUUAAUCUGUGUAUUGAAAUUAACUUUAACGUCAAUUAACUUGAUUAAUUGCACGCUCCAGUACUGUGUUUUGAAUUUUGGUGGUGGUUCGACCAUUUUGUUUCCAUUUGAUAACAUUGAUGUGCCUUUAAAUGAAUAAAGUAUUAGUCCAGUCAGUUUCAGAGAA